rnacentral:rRNA from 1 species
UACGUAGGGACCAAGCGUUGUUCGGAUUUACUGGGCGUAAAGGGCGCGUAGGCGGCAAUUCAAGUCAGUUGUGAAAUCUCCGGGCUUAACCCGGAAAGGUCAACUGAUACUGUGCGACUAGAGUGCGGAAGGGGCAACUGGAAUUCUCGGUGUAGCGGUGAAAUGCGUAGAUAUCGAGAGGAACACCUGCGGCGAAGGCGGGUUGCUGGGCCGACACUGACGCUGAUGCGCGAAAGCCAGGGGAGCGAACGGG